rnacentral:rRNA from 1 species
UACGGAGGAUCCAAGCGUUAUCCGGAAUCACUGGGUUUAAAGGGUGCGUAGGUGGGUCUGUAAGUCCGUGGUGAAAUCUCCGAGCUUAACUUGGAAACUGCCAUGGAUACUAUAGGUCUUGAAUACUGUGGAGGUCAGCGGAAUAUGUCAUGUAGCGGUGAAAUGCUUAGAUAUGACAUAGAACACCAAUUGCGAAGGCAGCUGGCUACACAAAUAUUGACACUGAGGCACGAAAGCGUGGGGAUCAAACAGG